AGCUUGAGUACCAUGCCAAGUUUGGGCUCUGGGGCUACCCAGAAUAGAAAGUUCCUAUUAGGGCUGAUCCCAGGAGGUGUGGGGCUGAGACUUUUGAAGCUAACACUUUUCCAGCCCGUGGAAUUUUGAAUAUUCUCUAGUUUUCUAAUCAUCCUCUCCCUACAAAGAUCGAGAUUCACAGUCCCUUGCUGUUGUUCAGUCACUCAGUCGUGUCUAACUUUUUGUGACCCCAUGGACUGCAGCACACCAGGCUUCCCUGUCCUUCACCGUCUCCCAGAGUUUGCUGAAAUUCAUGUCCAUUGAGUUGGUGACGCCAUCCAACCAUUUCAUCUUCUUCUGGCUUCAGUCUUUCCCAGCAUCAGGGUCUUUUCCAAUGAGUCAGCCCUUCCCAUCAGGUGGCCAAAGUACUGGAGCUUCAGCUUCAUUAUCAGUCCUUCUGAUGAAUAUUCAGGACUGAUUUCCUUUGGAAUUGACUGGUUUGAUCUCCUUGCAAUCCAAGGGACUCUCAAGAGUUUUCUCCAAAGCCACAGUUUAAAAGCAUCGAUUCUUCGGUGCUCACCCUUCUUCAUGGUUCAACUCUCAUAUCCAUUCAUAACUAUUGGAAAAACCACAGCUUUGACUAUGCAGACCUUUGUCAGCAAAGUAAUGUCUCUGCUUUUUAAUAUGCUGUCUAGGUUUGUCAUAGCUUUUCUUCCAAGGAGCAAGUGUCUUAAUUUCAUGGCUGCAGUCCCCAUCUGCAGUGAUUUUGGAGCCCAAGAAAAUAAAGUCUCUCACUGAUUCCAUUGUUUCCCCAUCUAUUUACCAUGAAGUGAUGGGAUCAGAUGCCUUUUCUGAAUGUUGAAUUUUAAGCCAGCUUUUUCACUCUCCUCUUUCACUUUCAUCAAGAGGCUAUUCAGUUCCUCUUUGCUUUCUGCCAUAAGGGUGGUGUCAUCUGCAUAUCUGAGGUUAUUGAUAUUUCUCCUGGCAAUCUUGAUUCCAGCUUGUGCUUCAUCCAGCCUGGCAUUUCGCAUGAUGUACUCUGCAUAUAAGUUAAAUAAGCAGGGUGACAAUAUACGGCCUUGGUGUACUCCUUUCCCAAUUUGGAACCAGCUCGUUGUUCCAUGUCCAGUUCUGUUGCUUCUUGACCUGCAUAUAGAUUUCUCAGGAGGCAGGUCAGGUGGUCUGGUAUUUCCAAUCUCUUGAAGAAUUUUCCACAGUUUGUUGUGAUCCACACCGUCAAAGGUUUCAGCAUAGUCAAUGAAGCAGAAGUAGAUGUUUUUCUAGAAUUCUUUUAGUUUUUCUAUAAUCCAGGGGAUGUUGGCAAUUUGAUCUCUGGUUCCUCUGCCUUUUCUAAAUCAAGCUUGAACAUCUGGAAGUUCUCUGUUUAUGUACUGUUGAAGCCUAGCUUGAAGAAUUUUGAGCAUUUCUUUGCUAGCUAUGUGAAAUGAGUGCAAUUGUGUGGUAGUUUGAACAUUCUUAUGCCAUUGCCCUUCUUUGGGAUUGGAAUGAAAACCGAUCUUUUCCAGUCCUGUGGCUGCUGCUGAGUUUUCCAAAUUUGCUGGCAUAUUGAGUGCAGCACUUUCACAGCAUCAUCUUUUAGGAUUUGAAAUAGCUCAGCUGGAAUUCCUUCACCUCCACUAGCUUCGUUCGUAGUGAUGCUUCCUAAGGCCCACUUGACUUUGCACUCUAGGACAUCUGGCUCUAGGUGAGUGAUCACAUCAUCGUGGUUAUCUGGGUCAUGAAGAUCUUUUUUGUACAGUUCUUCUGCGUAUUCUUGCCACGUCUUCUGAAUAUCUUCUGCUUCUGUCAGGUCCAUACUGUUUCUGUUCUUUAAUGUGCCCACCUUUGCAUGAAAUCUUUCCUUGGUAUCUCUAAUUUUCCUGAAGAGAUCGCUAGUCUUUCUCAUUCCAUUGUUUUCCUGUAUUUUUUUUCAUUGUUCGCUUAGGAAGCCUUUCUUAAACUCUCCUUGCUAUUCUUUGGAACUAUGUAUUCAGAUGGAUGUAUCUUUCCCUUUCUCCUUUACCUUUUGUUUGUCUUCUUUUCUCAGCCCUUUGUAAGGCCUCAUCAGGCAACCAUUUUGACUUUUUUCAUUUCUUUUUCUUGGGGAUGGUUUUGAUCACUGCUUCCUGUACAAUGUUAUGACCCUCCAUCCAUAGUUCUUCAGGCACUUUGUCUAUCAAAUCUAAAAGAUCACAGUCCCUAAAAGACCUUAUUGCUCAUGCCCUAAGUCAUGCCUGACUCUGCAACCUCAUGGGCUGUGUAGCCCACCAUGCUUCUGUCUAUGGGAUUCCUUAGGCAAGGCUACUGGACAGGGUCCCAUUACCUCCUCCACGGGAUCUUCCCAACUCAGGGACAGAAUCUGUGUCUCCAGCAUCUGCAGGCCAAUUCUCUACCACUGGGCCACCUGGGAAGCCCCAAAAGUCCUUAUUACCAGCCUGUUAUAAGGCAGUCAUGGAACCUGGAUGCUCUCAAGCAGCAGGCUGAAGGAAAGAGUCCUUGCCCACUCUGAAGAGCCUUUAGAGAACUCAGUGAUGGGCAUGAACCCCUUCUUAGAUACAAGACCUUAAAUGCUGCCAAGAUGUGGCAAGAUGGACUCUGCUGAGUCUCUGAGACAAGAUUUUCCACAGUUCCUUCUCUGCUCAGACCCCUCAGGUCAACCAGGAGGCCCACUAUCAAGGGACAAGCCUUCUUUAUUCCCCACUUACUUUCUGGCUCAUAGUUAAUCAAUAUAAUAGUAGGAGCCCCAAGAGAUGGUGGGAGGUCUUGCUAGUCUUUCCUGCAAUUAACAUUUCCUCAGUGUGGUUUUGAUCAGCAGUGGCCUCCUUUGUUAAAGGGUACCCAAGGGGCUCUGUGCCUCACCUACUUACAGAAUGAUGCAGAGCUCAGGAGGAACCCAGAAUAAGAUGAAGCCUUGCCAUUCAGGAAGCUUAAGAACAUCUGAGUGCUCCUCUCCCUCCUCCUGCUGGUUCACUAUCAAGAAUAAGAACAGCUGAUAUUUACUGAAUAUUGACAAGCCUCAGGUGCUGUGCUAAAAUUGGGGAUGAGCUGGAAGACUGACAGCUGGAGACCUAGUUCCAGAGAAUUAUUUAAGCCUUAUGCCAGAAGAGAAAAGACUGUUUGGGACCUGCCAUUAAGAAUAAUCUAUAGCGGGGGUAGGAGUAGGUACUGGAUUUUAUCAGCAGCUCUCAAGCCAUGACUCCAUCUACCCCGAGUUGUAACUUUGCUGGCCUGUUUGCCCAACUCUGGUUAAGGGUCAGUGUUGGCUCUUUCGACACAGAGGUUUGGACCAGGUAGGGAAACAGAGGCUGUAUAGCUAACAUCACAGGAGGCACUUCUUUUUAAUCCGAGAUGACAGAGGCCCUGCUUUCAAUUGCCCCAUGAGCUUGGCUGUUACUACUACCCUCUUCUCCUGAAGUCAACAGAGGGAGCUGUCCAGUGAGAAGGUGGGUUUCUCAUGAUAAGAGGGGGAAAAAAUGAUACUGCCUUGAAGAGCCUGAGAACCACUGGCUGCAGGAAGGAGGCUCAGGUCUGUCCCAGGUCCCUCCUACCUUGUAACGUUUUGACUCAUGGAAUAACUUGCUGUUCUGGGCCACCAGAAUAAGCAAAUUUGUUCCAACUGGUUUGAAAUAUGUUCAGUUACAAAUCAAAAGAAAACUUUGGUCUGGAUUGUAAAUAACAGGAGAAUUACUAAUGUUUUGAUUAUAUCUGGAGCUCAUGCAUAGGACAAGUUCAUUCUGAUUAGGGAUUUGGGGCCCAGUUCACUUAAACAAGAGGCACCAAGUCCUCAGCAGGGGCCAGCCUUCAUCCGGCUACAACUUGCAACUUGCUUCAUCUGCAUCCUGCUUGGAGCCUUCCGGGGCCAAAUUAGUUACAGAAUAUUUAUGUUUUCCCUGAAAUCGUCUUCAAAUGCCUGGCACUCUUCCAAGGGACCUAAAGGGAUAAGGUAUUAGGGACACAGAUGCCUUAAGAAGGGGGGAAACACUAAUAAUACUAGUAAGAAUUAGCCAAGCUCCUAUUAUACACCAGUGAAGCCGCUCAGUCAUGCCCGACCCUUUACGACCCCUGGGACUGUAGCCUACCAGGCUCCUCCGUCCAUGGGAUUAUCCAGGCAAGAAUACUGGAGUGGGUUGCCAUUGCCUUCUCCAGAGGAUCUUCCCGACUUAGGGAUCAAACCCGGGUCUCCUGCAUUGCAGGCAGACGCUUUACCAUCUGAGCUACCAGGGAAACCACUAUAUCAGUGUCCUAAAGCACUUCACAUAGCUCCAUUUACUCUUAGUAACCCUAGGAGGCAAGUACCAGUAUUAUUCCUGUCUUACAGAUGAGGAAAGAGGGAGGUGACUGAACUUGUCCGAGGUCUCAGAGCUAUUUAAGUAGGUGGGGUUCUCAUCCAGGCUGUCUGGUUUAUGCUCUGAGCCCCACGCAAGAUUUUCUCCUCCUCAUGGAAGGAUCUCCAGUGGGGUCAGUGGGGGAGGGUCUGGGCAUGUAUAGGUCUCAAAUGAAAAGGGAUCCAUAUUCAGUCUGGUGUUGAAUUUGCUGUGGACAGUGUGCAGAAGACCAGAUAACAGAGGGACUAAUGGGCCCAUAGAAACCUGUUGUCUGAGGCCUGGGGAUCCCCUGACCACUCAAUCCAGCGCCAUAGAAGAAGACUGUGAUAACAGUAGCUUUAACACACCCUAGGAACUCCUGCGCUAUGCUAAGUCAUUUCAGUUGUGGCCAAUUCUUUGCAACCCCAUGAACCGUAGCCUGCCAGGCUCCUCUGUCCAUGGGAUUCUCCAGGCAAGAAUACUGGAGUGACUCCUAAAGGGCAAGAAUUAUUCAACUUUCUCUGAGCAACAGUCAUGAGAUCGCAUAAAUUACAGGGUGUGCGGACUCUGACCCUUCGUUUUAGAGAUGAGGUCGAAGAGGCCAAGUGAAUCAUGAAGUCCACGAGGUUAGGGCAGCAGAGCCUGGAUGGGAACCCAACUGCCUUCUGGCUUAGUCAGGCUGUCUGAUCAUGGGGUGUCUGAAGGCUGGGGGGUCAGAUAAGAGAAUACAGUGCUUACUGCUGAGGGAGGCUACUAGUGGUCAAGACCCCACCUUCUAGGAAAGAAACGGAGAUGUUUUUCUAAUUUGUGUCAGGAACUAGAGCCUGGAGGGAGAGUCAGUUUAUGCCAGCUCACAGGCCAGGUUGACUUCCCUGGUAGUUCAGACGGUAUUAGCUUCUGUCUGCAAUGUGGGAGACCUGGGUUCAAUCCCUGGGUCCAGAAGAUCCCCUGGAGAAGGAAAUGGCAACUCACUCCAGUAUUCUUG
ensembl:lncRNA